GAUGAACGCUGGCGGCGUGCCUAAUACAUGCAAGUCGAGCGAACAGAUGAGGAGCUUGCUCCUCUGACGUUAGCGGCGGACGGGUGAGUAACACGUGGAUAACCUACCUAUAAGACUGGGAUAACUUCGGGAAACCGGAGCUAAUACCGGAUAAUAUAUUGAACCGCAUGGUUCAAUAGUGAAAGACGGUUUUGCUGUCACUUAUAGAUGGAUCCGCGCCGCAUUAGCUAGUUGGUAAGGUAACGGCUUACCAAGGCAACGAUGCGUAGCCGACCUGAGAGGGUGAUCGGCCACACUGGAACUGAGACACGGUCCAGACUCCUACGGGAGGCAGCAGUAGGGAAUCUUCCGCAAUGGGCGAAAGCCUGACGGAGCAACGCCGCGUGAGUGAUGAAGGUCUGCGGAUCGUAAAACUCUGUUAUUAGGGAAGAACAAAUGUGUAAGUAACUAUGCAAGUCUUGACGGUACCUAAGCAGAAAGCCACGGCUAACUACGU
rnacentral:rRNA from 1 species